rnacentral:rRNA from 1 species
UCUGUGCCAGCAGCCGCGGUAAUUCCAGCUCCAGAAGGAUAUAUCAACGUUGUUGCAGUUAAAAAGCUCGUAGUUGAAUUUCGGAGGGUUUAUUGUGUUUGUUCUAGACUGGGGCAACCUGGUUUAGGAUGGGCCGGCCUUCUUUCUGUGGGUCCACGUUUAGUUCGGGUGGUUUACUCUGCUCGGAUUAGAUGCCACUCAGUCACUGAGAGUAAAUUGGAGUGCUCAAGGCAGGCUUGAUAGCUUUGAACAUUUUAGCUUGGAAUGACAAGAUAUGACUUUUGUUUUAUUUUGUUGGUUAUGAAACGAGAGUAAUGAUUAACAGGAACAGUGCGGGGGUACUCGUAUUGAAAGGUCAGAGGGACUGAUAAUUCUUGGAAUUCGAUUUCAAGACGAACGACUGCGAAAGCAUUUACCAAGGAUGUUUUCAUUAAUCAAGAACGAAAGCUCGGGGAUCGAAGAUGAUUAGAUACCAUCGUAGUCCGACGCCAUAAACGAUGCCGACUCGGGAUUGUGAUGUUUGUUCGAUUUCAAAGAACCAUCGCAGCACCGUAUGAGAAAUCAAAGUCUUUGGGUUCCGGGGGGAGUAUGGUCGCAAGGCUGAAACUUAAAGGAAUUGACGGAAGGACACACCAGAGGUGGAGCCUGCGGUUUAAUUUGACUCAACACGGGGAAACUUACCAGGUCCAGACAUGAUGAGGAUUGACAGUUUGAAAGCACUUUCUUGAUUUCAUGGGUGGUGGUGCAUGGCCGUUCUUAGUUGGUGGAGUGAUUUGUCUGGUUGAUUCCGAUAACGAACGAGACGGGGGGAGUUUACUAGUUGCUAGAGCCUUGCGACUCUGUGUAACUUCUUUACUCGACAACUUGGUUUUACCAAGGGGAAGCGCCCCGCAAUAACAGGUCUGUGAUGCCCUUAGAUGUUCUGGGCUACACGCGCGCUACAAUGACGAGUUCAACGAGUAAUUUUUUCCUUGCCCGGAAGGGUGUGGGUAAUCCUUUCAAUGCUCGUCGUGAUGGGGCUAGAUUCUUGCAAUUAUUAAUCUUCAACGAGGAAUCUCUAGUAUGUGCAGGUCAUCAGCCUGCGCAGAAUGCGUCCCUGUCCUUUGUACACACCGCCCGUCGCACCUACCGAUUGGACGAUCCGGCAAGAUGUUUGGAGUUGUUUGAUUUGGCUUCGGCUGAAUCGAAUGACGAAGCUCCUCAAACCUUAUCGUCUAGAGGAAGGUGAAGUCGUAACAAGGUCUCCGUAGGUGAACCUGCG